rnacentral:rRNA from 1 species
GACGAACGCUGGCGGCGUGCUUAACACAUGCAAGUCGAACGGAAAGGCCUCUUUCGGGGGGUACUCGAGUGGCGAACGGGUGAGUAACACGUGAGUAACCUGCCCUUGACUUUGGGAUAACUUCAGGAAACUGGGGCUAAUACCGGAUAGGAGCUCUUGUUGCAUGGUGGGGGUUGGAAAGUUUCGGCGGUUGGGGAUGGACUCGCGGCUUAUCAGCUUGUUGGUGGGGUAGUGGCUUACCAAGGCUUUGACGGGUAGCCGGCCUGAGAGGGUGACCGGCCACAUUGGGACUGAGAUACGGCCCAGACUCCUACGGGAGGCAGCAGUGGGGAGUAUUGCACAAUGGGCGGAAGCCUGAUGCAGCAACGCCGCGUGCGGGAUGACGGCCUUCGGGUUGUAAACCGCUUUCGCCUGUGACGAAGCGUGAGUGACGGUAAUGGGUAAAGAAGCACCGGCUAACUACGUG